rnacentral:rRNA from 1 species
UACGUAGGGUGCGAGCGUGUCCGGAAUUAUUGGGCGUAAAGAGCUUGUAGGUGGUUUGUCGCGUCUGCUGUGAAAAUCCGAGGCUCAACCUCGGACUUGCAGUGGGUACGGGCAGACUAGAGUGUGGUAGGGGAGACUGGAAUUCCUGGUGUAGCGGUGGAAUGCGCAGAUAUCAGGAGGAACACCGAUGGCGAAGGCAGCCCCUGG